CUAUUAUAGUGCUGAAAUGCUGAUCUUUUCAAAGAAGUACAUCUAUGGUAGCAUCAAGCGUGUUUGUAAUGAUGGCUGUACAUUACAGAACUCGCAGCGCAGUUAAAUGGUUCACCAGAAAAGUUACAUCCGAAAGAUCAGGAAAUCCUAUAAAGAGCAUCCGAUUUAUAUUUCAAUUGCAAAACAGUAUUAUCUUUAUAGACACAGAAAAGGUGAUUUAAAAAUCAACUCAAAAUGAAAAUAGCUUUUUCUCUUUGGGAGGGAGGGGGUAAAAUAUGGACCUUCCAAAAAAAAAAACUAAAGCGAUUUGUAAAUCCAAAGGAGAUUUUCAUGCACUAGAGUUUUGGGUGCAAAAUCAUCCCUCAUAAGCAAUGAAAUUGACUGCAGCAGUGCCAUUAGGUAACCUAAAAGUAUUCAAGGAUGAAUGUUAUUUUGGCAACCAAGACCAUAAACUUAGCACCGCUCCAAACUGAAGAGAGCAUGGCAGGGAGGAUCUUGCAUUCAGUCUGCAGCAAACGUUUUCCGCAUCGGAGACCACUCAGAAAUGAAAUGGAUACAGUUCAGCGCUCUUUAUAUUACUGUAGCUUGUUUCUGUACCGUUACAGACCUGAACAGCAUAUGCACCUUUAAUAAUAUAGGCAGAUAUUUGUGUCGUAAAGCAGUCUUGCCAUUUAUAGUUCAAAUUAUAUGCUCGAUCACAUGCGUACUUGUAGUUCCCGGACAGAGCCUGUAGCUUCAACAGCUCCUUGAAGUGUUUGAAUCAUUGAGAGCGUAAAGCCUUUCAAGCCUCUAAACGGGUAAACCUCGCAAACCCUGUCAAGAACAUACUAUAAUUUAAGACCAUUGAGAUUUUCUGGCAUUACAUUCAUGAUGAUAAUUUAUUACACAACAGAUGUCAGGUGUAUUGCCUGGUCAAUUUAGAUCAAAACAACAGCACCACAAACAAAAUAAAAAAACAUAUCACGUGUAUUACGGUAAGGAGAAAUAGGGGGAAAAAAUUUAUCAGGUGCAUUAUUCUAAUGUAUAGUAUGAGAAUUUAAGAAAAAUGCCACAAAAAGAGGUGUAUUAGGGUAAUGACAAUUGGCAAGAAACGCAAAGAAAAAAAUAUCAGGUGUAUUAGGGUAAUGAGAAUUGAGGAAGAAAAAAAAGGGUGCAUUACAGUAAUUGAGGGGAAAUGCACAAAACAUUGAGGUGCAUUAGGGUAGUGACAAUUGGCAAGAAAUGCAAAAAAAAUAUCAAGUGAAUUAGGGUAAUGACAACUGAGGGAAAACGCACAAAAAAAAAACAAACAAAAAAAAACCCCGAGGUGCAUUAGGGUAAUGAGAAUUGAUGGAAAACGCCCAAAA